AAUGUCAUAAAAGGGAGGAAACUUAAAAAUAAAAAUGGCGUAUACGCCAUGCUAUGGAAUGUAAAAUAAAUGUUAACGAUUGCUCAGCUGAGCGACUAAUAAAAAAUGAUUGAAGAAUUUCUACGACACAUAGCAUGUUGGACUCACUUUGUAAAUGAAGAUUCUGCUGCAGAAGAUCUUAACCGGUCAUGGAGGGCUUCGAACUCGGAAUAACCAUGACUACAGCCGGAAACGGAUAUAAGACCAGCUAGUUAAAAUGUUAUACGGAAAUACUAUAACAUAGGAUUAUUAUUUUAGAAGUAUUGUAUUUUUUAAAAAUCUUUCUUUUCACUUACUAUC